CAGCAGCCGCGGUAAUACGGAGGAUCCAAGCGUUAUCCGGAUUUAUUGGGCGUAAAGCGCACGUAGGCGGAUUGUUAAGUCAGGGGUGAAAUCCCGGAGCUCAACUCCGGAACUGCCUUUGAUACUGGCAAUCUAGAGUCCGGAAGAGGUGAGUGGAACUCCUAGUGUAGAGGUGGAAUUCGUAGAUAUUAGGAAGAACACCAGUGGCGAAGGCGGCUCACUGGUCCGGUACUGACGCUGAGGUGCGAAAGCGUGGGGAGCA
rnacentral:rRNA from 1 species